rnacentral:ncRNA from 1 species
AGUAAUCCAGUUCGGCACAAGAGGAACCGCAGGUUCAGACAUGGUUUCUGCUCUUGGCUGUGGAGCCAGCAGAGUGAAGCUUCCAUCUGUGGGGUUAGGACUGAUCGCCUCCAUAUUAGAAUCCCUCCU